AUCAAAAUCGAGCGAACGAAGAUCUCCGGAUUGCUGCACUCUGCUACAUGCCUUUCGAAUCCGUUUACUGCAUCGCCGGAGAAGUAGGAAUCUGUUUACUUACCUUUGGAAUCCAUCCUCAUCCCUCUCCGUCUAGUGUGAUGCAGCAGUUAGGCACUAGUGCAGUGACAUCUAAGUUUAAACAGACUUUUUUCUUCAAAAUGCGACAUUUUCUUCUGAUGUCUGCAGUGGCUUUGGUCUGGGAGAAACUUUCAUAUUUUCGGAUAAAAGAGCUCAAGGAUGUGCUCACUCAGCUGGGACUUUCGAAACAGGGAAAGAAGCAGGUUAGGUUCUUUCUACUUAUCUUCCAUUUGUCGUGACUAUGGUUGUGAUUCUUGUAAAGAAGAUGAUGUUUCAGAUUGUUAUCAUUGGACCUUUAACAUGUUCCGGUUAUAAUUUAUUUGUCUUGAAUAAGAAGAAGGCUUCGAAGAGGCAAUGCAUAAGGAAGGAUGGAGUUUUUCAUUUUCAUCUCCAAGACUGAGUUCAGUUCAUGAUAUAUGUUCGUAACAAAAAGAAGUUUCAAUUAUUCUAAUCAUUUGUUUUGAA